rnacentral:lncRNA from 1 species
AAGGGAGGGAGGAACACCUUGAGAGGAGUUGAGAUCCUGCUUUCUCUUCAGAAUGCCAUCUCUAGGAUGCCAAUGGGCUGUGUCUACAGUACUAUGUAGGAAAGUGCUGCAAGAGAGAGCCCAUUUUGCCUAAACAAGAACCACGAUUAUGUAAAGUUCUUUCUGUCACCUCUCUGAAGACCUGGUUCAUAUCUGCAGCUGCAACUCUAUCCCUGAACUCAUCUUUGAAACUACCCAGAGACUGUCAAGAGCUUCAGAGCUUUACAACAGGAUCUUCCAAGUGCCCUGAGAGGUCAUGAUGGAGCCAAUAGAAAUAAAUCAUACAAAACAAAGCCAGAACCUGGUGGGAGGGAUGCUUACAAAACAACAUAAACGAGAAGUUGUCUGAAAAAAAAUUGUAUGGAAGGAAGAAGAGAUGAGAUAAGGGAAAUGAACUCAUAAUAGCCCCAGUUAAAAUACUUACAGUAAAAUAUCAUUAGUACUACUUGAUGUUGGUGAAAGGCUCUAGACUCAAGUCAGAAGGCCCAAUUUGUUGCUGUGAUUUCUUGAACAAAUUAUGUAAUUGUGUUGAGAUUCAGUUUUCUUUUCUAUCAUUGGGUAUUAAUAACUUCUAUGUGAUGUCAGAGUUAUGAUGUGAAGUUAAAAUAACUAAUAAAUGGGUAAACCCUGAAAA